UUCCCAUUUUUAAUUUUUAGUUUAUUUAAUCAAGGGACAGUGCAUAUUAAUAGAACAAAAACAAUUGUAAAUAUGCCAGAGUUAGCCAGAAGG